CCUACGGGAGGCUGCAGUGAGGAAUAUUGGUCAAUGGACGAGAGUCUGAACCAGCCAAGUAGCGUGAAGGAUGACUGCCCUAUGAUUUGUAAACUUCUUUUAUAUGGGAAUAAAAUGUUCCACGUGUGGGAUUUUGUAUGUACCAUAUGAAUAAGGAUCGGCUAACUCCGUGCAAGCAGCCGCGGUAAUACGGAGGAUCCGAGCGUUAUCUGGAUGUAUUGGGUUUAAAGGGAGCGUAGGUGGAUUGUUAAGUCAGUUGUGAAAGGUUGCGGCUAAACCGUAAAAUUGCAUUUGAAACUGGCAGUCUUGAGUACAGUAGAGGUGGGUGGAAUUCGUGGUGUAGCGGUGAAAUGCUUAGAUAUCAAGAAGAACUCAGAUUGCGAAGGCAGUUCACUGGA
rnacentral:rRNA from 1 species